rnacentral:misc_RNA from 1 species
GAUGAAGAACGCAUCGAAAUGCGAUAAGUAAUGUGAAUUGCAGAAUUCAGUGAAUCAUCGAAUCUUUGAACGCACAUUGCGCCCGGCAGCAAUCUGCCGGGCAUGCCUGUCCGAGCGUCAUUUCUUCCCUCGAGCGCGGCUAGCCCUACGGGGCCUGCCGUCGCCCGGUGUUGGGGCUCUACGGGUGGGGCUCGUCCCCCCCGCAGUCCCCGAAAUGUAGUGGCGGUCCAGCCGCGGCGCCCCCUGCGUAGUAGAUCCUACAUCUCGCAUCGGGUCCCGGCGAAGGCCAGCCGUCGAACCUUUUAUUUCAUGGUUUGACCUCGGAUCAGGUAGGGUUACCCGCUGAACUUAAGCAUAUCAAUAAGCGGAGGA